AUUGAACGCUGGCGGCAGGCCUAACACAUGCAAGUCGAACGAGUGGCGGACGGGUGAGUAAUGUAUGGGAACCUGCCUGAUGGAGGGGGAUAACUACUGGAAACGGUAGCUAAUACCGCAUACCAUCGGAUGUGCCCAGAGGGGAUUAGCUAGUUGGUGGGGUAAAGGCUCACCUAGGCGACGAUCCGUAGCUGGUCUGAGAGGAUGACCAGAGAGACUGGUACUGAGACACGGGCCAGACUCGUACGGGAGGCAGCAGUAGGGAAUAUUGCGCAAUGGGCGAAAGCCUGAUGGAGCCAUUCCGCGUGUAUGAAGAAGGUCUUCGGAUUGUAAAGUUCUUUUAUUGGGGAGGCGUUACCCACAGAGGAAGCAACGGCUAACUCCGUGCCAGCAGCCGCGGUAAUAC
rnacentral:rRNA from 1 species